CUGUUUGUUCCCCUGCUUCUGUACAAGCUAGGAAGUGUCCUUCUAAUUGAAUUCUCUUUGUACAUAGAUUGUUCAGAAAAGAAGGAUUAAUAACUAGUUAGAACAUGUGUAAUUAUAAUGCAUCUAGUAUUUCAUACGAAUUAAGCUGUUAACAGUUGUUUUUCUUUUCAGAUAAACCCCUUCACUCUUAAAGGUUUUUUUACUGAAACUACAAUAUGUUGCAAUAAUAGUGCCUUAUAGAAUUAUUCUAAAUCAUCUUUGUUUCUUUAUCCACAUGCCAUAUGGUAUUGUAGUCGCGAUUGUUUGCAUGAGGUAGUCAGGCAGAGCUAGGUUAUAUGAGUUUAUAUGGAUACUCUCUAUACUUGUGUAUAUGUAUGUAGUUUUGGUCAAAAUAGGUGCCUUAAUUGAUAGUUUUCACAUGUCUUGUGUAGUAGGGUAGCUGAUGUUCAUCGCACUUUACUAUAUGGUGGUAUCUUUUUGUAUCCUGAUGUUAGAAGAGCACCAACGGAAAACUAUCAGAUGUCUUGCACUUCUGAAGGGUACCAUGAUCCAAAUAUCCCAAUGAAGGGAACCUUACUGGGUCUCUUCCUGAAGAAAUUGGGAAAUUAAUAAAGCUCAUAAACCUGCAAAAAGUGUGAAUUUACAAAAAUAUAUGUUACUUGAAAUUUAAAUAUCUUGACAAUAAGUAUUUCUGUUGCACUGUAGGAUCCUGGUUAGCUGCAAUUUCAUUGGCGAAAUUCCAGACAGCAUAUGAUCCCUCUAAAUCAUCUGCAAGUUUCGGUUUUUCUUUGCUCGUAGCACGCUUGCUGGUAUAUAUGAGCAGAGUCUACAGAAUGUGUUAGCUAAAGGAUGAAUGUCCAAAAGGAGGUAGGUGAGUCAUGUAGGUGAGUCAUGUAGGAAGAUGGGACAAAUCAUGAGUUCACUACUGAAGAGUAUGAGAAGUUAUUGGUCAAUAUACAAAGCUCUCUAUAGAGUUGAUAUCAGUGUCGGUGAGGGUUUUUUCAUCACUUGUUCUUUUGAAUUAUGAUUUAUUUACUCCUUUUAUGUGUAUGUUGCUUCGUGUGAAUUUUUGUGUAUCCAUACUUCCUAUAGACUCUCUUAUGCUCAUGAGUUUUAUGUACGUAUCAAUCUUUUGUUGUUGAUAAUUAAUUCACAAGCUCACGCUUCCUACUGAUUUGUGACCUUUAAUUGCUCUGUGAAUAGUGUUUCAGUGUUGUGUAUUAUGCAGGCUCGAUCUUAUUAGCAAUUGAUUCUUAAAAAGUGCUAAUUGAAGAAUUCAUUCUUUUAAUACUUCAUAAAAUAUAGACUAUUUAGCUUUUGCCAGUAGUGAGGUUUGGAUACUAAUAAACAAUGUUUUGUUCUUUCUUUUCAUAAUCCGUUUAUAUUCUGGUCGUACUGUUAGGUGAUGGCUAGCAAAACAAGAUAAGACAUUUUUACAGAAUUUUUUUAUUGGUAGAUGAUUAUUUUAAAUAAAACCAUAAGAAUUAUGUGCCUACAAUUUUGUUCUUACACUUGUGACACUACCUUGCGUAAUAUUCAAGUAAUCCCAUCUAUCAAUAUAAUAAACCUUAUGUUUUCAUCUGAUUUAGAUUUAAAUAUUCUAGUUUAAUUUUUUAAUUUGCAAAUAUUGUUAUUAGGAUUAGGUUAUGGUUCUUGGCUUCAUCUUGGAGUUACCUAAUGCAGUUCUUCUACAGCUUUGUAAAGACAACAUCACGGUAAGAGGGCUCAUUGUUCCUGAAGCUUGGCCUUGGAACAAUGCAUAACCCUUGUGUAACCCUUCAGUGCAGACAACAUGCAGACAACAUCACGGUAAGAGAGCUCAUUGUUCCUGAAGUUCGGCCUUAGAGUAUCUUGGGGUCCGUGAUGCAUUUGAAGAUUCUGGUGGUGGAAGAAAGGAAUCAAGGGAUGAUGCAUAGCUAUUUCUACUAUGAAGCUCAUACUCUUGAACUUAAUUGCUUCUACUGGCCUUUGUUUUCAAGAUGAAAUUUUAGAUUAAUAGGUUUUUGUAUUACUUAAUUUUAUACUUGUAAGUUAAUUUUAUUGUUAAUUGAAGACCAAUUAUUCAUA